UUACAUAAGCACACGACGGGAAAAAAAAGAAAAGAAAACGUCAAAACCGACCAAUCUUCCAGCAAUAUAGUUAGCGCUAGCGGCUAAGUUCACUAGCCUACUAGCUUUAGCAGUAGCAAGCUGCUCAAGGUCAGAACCAUGGCCAGGGCCGGAAGAGUGGAUCUGGUGAUUGACUGCCCUAGUUGCCAACGUCGCAGCUAGAUACGCCAUGGCCUCAUUCACGCUCUGCCAAUUAACUUUACUGCCAUCCCUUGCUGUGAUCCUCAGUCUAGCCCUUGUUUAUAUAGCUCAGCCCAGAGCCAUAGAGAGAAAGAGUUGUGACAGUCCCAUUGGACUCCGUUGUACGCUUUUUGCCGCCUACUUCCGGGGUAUGCAGCCUCGCGUAGUUCCAAAAAGCCAUUCUAUGGCGUUGGACAUCAUUCACUUCCAUUGCUGACUGUCGAGUAACUUCUGAGGUUGUAUCUGCUGAACCUGGCGGUGUUAGCUAGUCAGCUGAGUACUGUGUAUCUGAUGCUAGUAGAAAUAAGGUUUUUGCGGCUGACCAUUGUCAUCCAUAUUUUCAUGCGAUCUUUGUCCUUGGGGAAGCCAUACAUGCGGUAACCCUUCUCGGACCGAUUGGUGCAUCCAAAUGCUGCACAGCCAACCAUGGUAUGACCACUGAUUUACAAAAUGAUAGUUGUAACCAAUGAACCACGACACCAUUGAACAUCACAGAGAGCGGGUGACAACUUUUCCUCAACCACCUGCCCUCUGACUUUUGAGAAUAGGUCAGAGGUCAGAGUUCAUAACCAAACAAGGAUCCUCCCUCCCUCUCUCUCCUCAACCACUUUUGAACUUGCUCAGGGCUAUUAUAAGUGUGGUAAAGUAUAGUAUAUUUGCGACGUUAUAAUAUGUGAAUGGUUUGCCCUAUAUAUAGUGUUACCUGCUGUGUCCAUUGUUGAAUCUAUUAUCGCCCUAUUUCGCUUUAUCUGCUUUUUAGUGUCCAGGACACAGAUGAAGAGGAUGUUAGUAUGCGUUGUCGAGAGGAACUGCCCUACAGUGACUGGCCAUAGUGAAUAGUGGAACUCCACAGGUGUGAGUCUGAUGUAUGCAAGAGAAAGUAUUUUCUAGGCAGUCCUGAGUGAACUGGCUUGUUAGAAUAUAUUUGUGCCCCUGUCUCAACAGAUCUUGCUGGACCACCAGUAUCGUUGUUGUGGCCACUGUACGUAUGUUUGUUGAUAUUAUUCAUGCUUGUUCCUUGUUCAUGCUUUUUCACAUUUUUUUUUGUUCCACACUGUUCAUUUUUAUCUUAUGCCAGGUACCUUUAUUAUGAAUGUUGUCCUUCCUUUCAGCCCUGAUGCAUUCUGAAGCCUGAUGUAUGUGGAGGAUGUUUUUUUUAUGUAUUAAUCACUUAUAAUAUUCCUCCCUGUUCCUUCACUUUGUUCUUGUUUUUCCAGUUAGAUACACACAUUUACACACACAUACACAUCUUGUUGUCUCACUCAGUAUUUUUUAUUAAACAAUAUUUGAUUCAUUCA